CUCUAAACGGACAGAAUGUGCAGCCUGAAGACUCUGCUGUGUAUUACUGUGCCAGAGACGUCUGGGGUGGGGUCCUAUUACUUUGACUACUGGGGAAAAGGAACAAUGGUGACCGUCACAUCAGCCAUUUCAACUGGACCGUCUGUGUUUCCUCUGAUUCAAUGUGGUUUGGGGACUGGAGACACGGUCACUCUUGGCUGCUUUGCCACCGGCUUCACACCCUCCGCACUGACCUACGCAUGGAAGAACAAUGGGGCUGCCUUGACAGAGUUCAUUCAGUACCCUCCAGUACAGAAAGGCAACGUCUAUACGGGUAUCAGUCAAAUCCGAGUGAAAAGACAGGACUGGGAAGCGAAGCAGCCUUUCGAAUGUGAAGUGAAACAUGCAUCGGGAACUGAACGUUGCAAUUUCAUAAAGCAAGAGGAGUUUUAUAGGGUGCCAACUCUUAAAGUGUUGGCCUCCUCUGAUAAGGAAAGUGAGGCUUCCUUCUCCUGCUUUGCCAACGAUUUUUCACCAAAGGAUCAUGAGAUCAAAUGGCUGAAAAACAACGUGGCAGUCACUAACAAAGUAUACGAGAUCAAAACACCUCCUACGGAAAGAACGGACAAGAAUGGAACUAAGCUGUACAGUGCAGCAAGUUUUCUCACGGUGCAGUCCAGUGAGUGGACUGACAAUAAUGAGUUUACAUGUCAGUUUGAGGGGAAAGGCAAAGACGUUCAAACAAACGAGACUGUGAUUCACACCAAUCUCAAAUGUCCCAUAUAUGAAGGAUGUCCUUGCGCAGAUGUGGAGGUCAAGAUCAUAGCACCUUCAAUGGAGGACAUGUUUUUACACAAAAAAGGAACAGUAACUUGUCAAGUCAAGGUAAAUAAACCAUCUGUCGAGAAGAUUUCGUGGGAGACUGAGAAUGGAGGGUCAAUAAUUGGUGCCAGCCCAAUUUUACCCGCUAGAGGACAAAAAGGCGUCUUUAGCGCUCUACUUCCCAUCACCUAUGACGAAUGGAGCGGGGGCACAAAGUUCCUCUGCAUUGUGGAAAAUGAAGAUUGGAUAUUACCACUGAAGAAAAACUACGAGAGGAUUAUCGGAGGACAAACUCAGCGUCCUUCAGUGUUUAUGUUACCUCCACUAGAAGAUACUAGAAAAGAAACAAUGACCCUGUCUUGCUAUGUGAAAGACUUCUACCCUCAGGAGGUUUUUGUGGCUUGGCUUGUUGAUGACGUGGAAGCAGACUCAAAUUACGAGUUCCACACCACAAACCCUGUAGAAAACCACGGAUCCUAUUCUGCUUAUGGCCAGUUAUCUCUCAGCCUUAAGGAGUGGAAUAACGAUAACACUGUGUACAACUGUGUAGUUUACCACGAGUCGGUGGUUAACUCAACCAAAGCUAUUGUCAGGUCCAUCGGGCAAAAAACAUGUGGAAGAACCAACAUGGUCAACCUCAACAUGAACAUGCCUGAAAAGUGCAAGGCCCAGUAGAUGUUCUUCUGUGUCACUGUGUCUUUGGCUGUUUGUUGUUUAAUGUUUGUUGCUUGUGAUAUGACAUUGUGUUUGUCUUUUUAAUGCAGAUUCAAAAAAAAAUAAAAUAAAAAAAAAAGCCCUUUGCAACUCUGUU